rnacentral:misc_RNA from 1 species
GAGACAAGCAUAUGACUACUGGCAGGAUCAACCAGGUAGCAUUCCUUCACGACGCCAACACCCGCAUGAGCCCCACAAAGCCGUGAGGCCGCAGGCUCAAGGACGGGCGCAGCGGUCGUUCAUGUCGUUGGACAAGAUGCUUUGCUUGGGCAAAUGGAGGCCGAUAGACCACCCACCCGCGCAUAACAUUCCGCAUCCGAGAGCACGGGCAGAGCACCUCAUGGGCCUAGGCAACCACGCAACUGGGCGAGGCGUGCCAGGAACACGAGGCUAGCCUAGCGUCCACCCCAACACCCGUGAGGGCAUGGGGAGGAGGGGAACAAACGAACAAAUGAAUUCCCUUCGGUAGGUAAGCA